rnacentral:rRNA from 1 species
UACGUAGGUGGCAAGCGUUGUCCGGAUUUAUUGGGUUUAAAGGGUGCGUAGGCGGUUCUGUAAGUCAGUGGUGAAAUACUCUAGCUUAACUAGAGGGGUGCCAAUGAUACUGCAGAACUUGAGUAUGAUUGAGGUAGGCGGAAUGUGUCAUGUAGCGGUGAAAUGCUUAGAUAUGACACAGAACACCGAUUGCGAAGGCAGCUUACUAAGUCAUAACUGACGCUGAUGCACGAAAGCGUGGGGAGCAAACAGG